GGAGUCCCUCUGAUGACACCACGAAUCUGGGAAUGAAGAACUUCUUAGAGCUGAUUGGAAAUGGCAUUGCAGAGCUGAAACUUAACUGGAGGAAAUAUAUCUCCUGAAGAAGAAAAUAUAAUGCACUAUAAGGAUCUGACUUCUGGUGAAAAAUUCAAGCCUAGAGAAAACUUGUCCGCUUUGUUAGGAAGAAUGGGUUGGACAAUUUUCUUCAAUUCGAAAGGAUAUCUGAAUGCCAUGCUGAGCUUAAUCUCUGCAGCAUGCUCUGUGCUUCCCAUCUCUUCCUGAUGCACUGCAUGGUUAUCCUGAAGGGGAGGAUAAAGAAACUGGCCACCAAGAUGGUAAUCACUAGUGGAAAUGAAGAAGAUAAAGGCAGUCAAGAAAAGGAAAGCAAAGAAGAAACCAUCUUGGCAAUGCUUGGAAUUAUUGGGACAAUUCUGAACCUCAUUGUGAUCAUUUUUGUGUAUAUUUACACAACCUUGUAAACUAGAAGGCAUGCAAAUAGACCAGAUAAAACGGCCAUUAAGAGUGAUGACAAACAUUGCUGACUAUUGACAAGUUGUUUAAUCAGAAUUGACUGUGUAUUAUAUUAACACAUCAUAAAAGCACUGCCUGCCGGCAGCGACGACGGCUGAAGCACAAUUAAUUUAACAAGACUUUUUCACACAGUAACAAGCUUAACUCUUCUGUCCUGCCCUCUUCCUUUCAGUUUGGGGGAAAAUGACUGCAAUUAUGUAAGUUGUAGCUUUGAAGAAAUCCACCAGGGAUAUGUUGUUUUGACACAAUUAUAAAAAAAAAAAAA